GCGCCCUUAGCUCAGUGGUAGAGCGUCCCGUUCACAUCGGGAAGGCCGGAAGUUCGAUCCUUCCAGGGCGCACCA
rnacentral:tRNA from 1 species